CUCUAGGCUCAGAAAUGUGCAGCAACUUGUCCAGGCAAACCAGGAUUUAAAUGCCUGCAGUCCAACACUAAAAUCCAUGCCAUCAUCAGAGCAUCCAACCAAUAACCACAGAAAAGAUUAAACACGGGGAUAACUGGAAUAAGACAACAUUAUACACUAGAGACGGUCUUGUCCAAUCUCCUUAUUUUACUGAAGGGAAAACUGAGGCCCCAGGAGUGGGAGAUACUGGACCAAGGUUACUCAGAGCACCAGGCCUGCAGUCAGAACACAGCUCAGGAGGUUCUCAGUCCAAGGUCUUGUCCCGUGUCCAGACCCACAUCCCUCAUCACAUAGGCCAGCCUCCACCUGAUCAGCCCCAGGGUGCUGGCAGCCAGGGGUGCAAGGCAAGUCUGGUGGACGGGAGGGACCCCGACUCCUCCUUCCACUCCAGCCCAGCCAGAAUAGGGGAGUGCAGAGGAUGCGGUUGCCAAGGUGAAGCCUGCAAGGUUGCUAGGACACAUUUUGGGAGCAGUCAGGUGGCAGAGGAGGGCUUGGCUGGGCUGAGGCUGGGGCAGAGAUAAUGACCUGACCCACUGGUCUUCUUGGAGCUGCGGGCGGGCUUCCAACUCUGCAGGGUGGGUCAGCCAACCUGAGGGCUGACUCACAGAGAACCCACAUCUCUGUACUCAACACAUUGCCUGGAGGCUGAGAGGCUCUUUCCUCUGCCCUGCGCCUCAUCAAACACAAGCUUGGCUGCUGAGUCUUCCCGUCCCCCAACUCAUCAGCUGUCUCCCAGAGGAGCUCUCUAGAGCGCAAAGUCAAGCCCUCCAGGAUCCUCAGAGUGAAGCUCACACCCUGCUAAACUGAGACCCCCUACCUGGUACAGACAAUCUCCCAGCCUCAUCUUUAUUUCUCCCCAAGUCUCUGGCCAAACCUAACUCCUCCAAGUGCCUGGGAAGACCAUGCUCUCUGGAUGCCUUUGCAGAUGCUCUUCCCUCUGCCUGAGAAACCUUUCCAGCCCCACUGUCCCUAAACCUCAGCUCCAGACUCUUCAUCUCAGGGAAGCCCUCCCACUGCCUCCUGGCAGUGAGUCUCCUCUGACCAACCCCCCCUCAGGUGGAUAUCACAUCGUAUUUUAACUAUCUAUCCACUUUCCUCUUUGGGUCCCAAAUAGGUUGUGAGCUUUUGAACACCUCACUCUAGAGUAAACCUGGGUUCCAGCUGUGCAAGAUUGACACUUCUCAGAGCAUCUGUGCCCUCCUCUGUGAUGACAAGCAUGACCUCGGCCACUCUAAUGCGAGAGAUUGUGGAUGUGAAGGGCCUGACGCAGCUCAGUUACGCUGAAACUGCUGUCCCCAUCCUGCCGCUUAUGUCAAUAACACUAACGCCCAGCGCAGAGGGCUCUCUUGUAAACCUGUGCCCAAUGGGCCCUCACCUGCUCAGUGAGCAUAAUCACCAUGGCAGGAAAGCUCUAGAAAGAGCAAAGCCCCACUCAAGGGUGAGUCAUAAUAACUCCAGUAGUUAACGCUCUUGAUUCCCACAAGUCCCUAGACCUGUGUUGUCCCAACACACGGUCUGCCUACUCUUCACUCACUAAACAAAAUUUGCUAAGCACCUACUAUGUGCCAGGCAACAUGCUGCCUCUUCGGGACUCAGCAGCAGGUAGACGCAAAGCACUUGACUGCAACGCCUGCACUCCUCUCCUUGCCGCCCGACCUUUUUUUUGAAGUGCAGUUCAUUUACAAUGUUUUGUUAAUUUCUGCUACACAACAGUUAUACACAUGUUCUCUUUUAAUUGUUUUCCUUUCUGGCUUAUUCCAGGAGAUUGGAUAUAGUUCCCUGUGCCGUACAGUAGGACCUUGUUGUGUAUCCGUUCCAAAUGUAACAGUUCACCCCCACUGACCCCAAUCUGCCUAUCAGGGUCAGCCUCCCAACUCAACACGCAGACCCUGCUCAGAGAUGCUCCGGGCAGCCAGCACCCCCAACCAGAGAGACCCCCCACCCCCACCCUACCUCACCAGUGAGGAAGAAGCCACUCUGCCCUUUGGCCAAUCCAGCUGCUAGCUUUAAAUUCAAGCACUGUCAGCCUCCCCAGAGCAGGCAGCCCGCCUGCCCUGUUCACUGUGCUGUUCCCAGCGUUUAGAACAGGGCCUGGCACAGUCGUCCAGCCUCUUAUUUACUUGUUCAUUCACUCGCUCAGCAGAUAUUUAUCAAGCCCUGCUAAGUGCCAGGCUCUGGGGAGCCAGCAGCAAGGCCCGUCCUCACUCGGCUCCUGUCUCAGCGGAGGGGCUGAGGGGGCAGAGGGGAUUCUGUGAGGAGGCGAUAGUGCCGGGAGCUCUUGAGACCCAGCGGGUUAGGGCUGUGCUACCCAGCGUGGUCCCAGAAGACCGCCAACGACAUACAGGGCCUUGAGUCGGCUGGUCUAUUGGAACCCCUGACCUGGGGCCAACCCCCCAUCCCCAGCCCUGUUGCCGAGACCGGAAUCCGCACUUCGUGUGUCGCAGCAAGCAGGACGCUGGUGGCGUCAGGAAGAGAAAAUAUUCGAGGAGGAGGUGACAGGUUGUGCUCAGCCCUGCGCAAACCGAGCGGAUCAUGCCCCCUUCCAGCCCCUGUGUGCGCGCCUACGAUGUGAGAGCGGAGCAUCGGCCUCGUUCUUCCGAGCCAUGUGAAGGCAAACCUGGCGAACUUGCUGAGCUUUGCUCGAUCGACAAAUACUUACUGGGUACCCUUUGCCUUUUUAGGUUUAUCUGGUACCUCCUAGAAGAGAGCAGAGGAAGGUAACUAGGAUUUCAGGGGCUACCAUGAAAUAGAAAUCUUCACAGGCAUUGUCUUAUGUCAGAGCACCACCACCAAUAAUAAUAGAGGCUUCCCUGGUGUCCCAAACAGUAAAGACUCUGCCGGCAAUGCAGGAGACCUGGGCUCAAUCUCUGGGUGGGGAAGAUCUCCUGGAGAGGGGCAUGGCAACUCCAGUAUUCCUGUUGGAAGAAUCCCAUGGUCAGAGGAGCCUGGGGGGACUACAGUCCACAGCGUCACAAAGGAUUGGACGUGGCUGAGUGAAUAACACUAACAUUAACUAACGCAAAAUAAUAAUGAGCAGCUGUAUGGCACAAUAUAUGAGGGUGGUGCUCUCAGUAGCCCCAUUCUCUACAGGAGGAAACUGAGGCUCAGAGAAGUGGAAUGGAUUUCCCCAAAGCCAGAACUCAAGCCCAGAUCUGACUGACCAUAAAUCCCACCCACUGACACCAGGCAGAAAUCCCAAUGAAGCCAGAAAGCAGUGUGGCCACUGGUACCGCAGCAGCAUUGCCUGAUCCGGUGACUAAGACGACCGACUGCUGUCAGGAGCAGGUGAGGUGGGGUCAGGGCUGGGUCUCCUGCCAAGCAGGACCCCAUCCUGAACUGCCCAGCCCUUUGCCAGAAUCCAGAGGAUCAGUGCGG
ensembl:lncRNA